UACGGAGGGUGCAAGCGUUAUCCGGAUUCACGGGGUUUAAAGGGUGCGUAGGUGGGUUGAUAAGUCAGUGGUGAAAUCCCCGAGCUUAACUUGGGAACUGCCAUUGAUACUAUUGAUCUUGAAUACCGUGGAGGUCAGCGGAAUAUGUCAUGUAGCGGUGAAAUGCUUAGAUAUGACAUAGAACACCAAUUGCGAAGGCAGCUGGCUACGCGAAUAUUGACACUGAUGCACGAAAGCGUGGGGAUCAAACAGG
rnacentral:rRNA from 1 species